CUUCCUUAGGACUCCCAACACAGAAAUGCUUCGGAUGCGGAAAUGAUGGACGAUGUUGACCUCUGCCGCCCAGAAGAUCGUUCACUGGGAGCCCAUGCUGUCAGUACCACCGAAGAAACCGAAUCCUGACCGUGUUUAGGUAUCCAUCCUUCGCCACAGGAUUAUGGACCACAGGAAGAGGUUAGCGAUGGGCUGGCAGCCAGGAAGAAACAAAGAAGUCAUCAUAUUCAAAGACAAUGUG